UACGGAGGGUGCGAGCGUUGUUCGGAAUCACUGGGCGUAAAGCGCGUGUAGGCGGCCUCCUCAGUCUGGUGUGAAAGCCCGGGGCUCACCCCCGGAAGUGCAUUGGAUACUGGGAGGCUGGAGUACCGGAGAGGAGGGUGGAAUUCCUGGUGGAGCGGUGAUAUGCGUAGAUAUCAGGAGGAACGCCGGAGGCGAAAGCGGCUCUCUGGUCCGUAACUGACGCUGAGGUGCGAAAGCUAGGGGAGCGAACAGG
rnacentral:rRNA from 1 species